ACUUGAUUAGUUUGUUGGUGGGGUAAUGGCCUACCAAGACUGUGAUCAAUAGCUGAUUUGAGAGGAUGAUCAGCCACAUUGGGACUGAGACACGGCCCAAACUCCUACGGGAGGCAGCAGUGGGGAAUCUUGCACAAUGGAGGAAACUCUGAUGCAGCGAUGCCGCGUGAGUGAAGAAGGCCUUUGGGUUGUAAAGCUCUUUCGUCGGGGAAGAAAAUGACUGUACCCGAAUAAGAAGGUCCGGCUAACUUCGUGCCAGCAGCCGCGGUAAUACGAAGGGACCUAGCGUAGUUCGGAAUUACUGGGCUUAAAGAGUUCGUAGGUGGUUGAAAAAGUUGGUGGUGAAAUCCCAGAGCUUAACUCUGGAACUGCCAUCAAAACUUUUCAGCUAGAGUAUGAUAGAGGAAAGCAGAAUUUCUAGUGUAGAGGUGAAAUUCGUAGAUAUUAGAAAGAAUACCAAUUGCGAAGGCAGCUUUCUGGAUCAUUACUGACACUGAGGAACGAAAGCAUGGGUAGCGAAGAGGAUUAGAUACCCUCGUAGUCCAUGCCGUAAACGAUGUGUGUUAGACGUUGGAAAUUUAUUUUCAGUGUCGCAGCGAAAGCGAUAAACACACCGCCUGGGGAGUACGACCGCAAGGUUAAAACUCAAAUGAAUUGACGGGGACCCGCACAAGUAGUGGAGCAUGUGGUUUAAUUCGAAGAUACGCGCAGAACCUUACCAACACUUGACAUGUUCGUCGCGACUUUAAGAGAUUAAAGUUUUCGGUUCGGCCGGACGAAACACAGGUGCUGCAUGGCUGUCGUCAGCUCGUGUCGUGAGAUGUUGGGUUAAGUCCCGCAACGAGCGCAACCCUCA
rnacentral:rRNA from 1 species